rnacentral:lncRNA from 1 species
UAGUUGCAUACCCCUUAUUAUCAUCUUUUGUAUUUUGAUGAUGUUAGUAUUGUGAUCAUGUUAAAGGAAUUAUGUAGAAGACUUUAAUUAUGUUAAAUGGAAAAAGGAUCAUAUUUUGGAGAACUUGUGAUGUAUAAAUGAAAUGAUGCAAAGUUGUAUUAAAGUGAAUGCAUGUAUGUGAUUUAAAUUCAAUCAAAUACUUGUAUGAUGUUUAGUAGAUUCUUUCACUAUUGGCUGUUG